UCUAAAUUACUGCAUUGAUUUAGCAAAAUCUAUGCCAAUCCUAUUUUUUCAUCAUGUAAGAAUUCUGAGGUUCACUACAUGUACAUAAUAGAAAGCUGAAAUCAAAUAGGUGUAACGAAAUAAUUGUUGCCCACUCACUUUUGAAACUUUUAAGUGAAGUCAUAAGUAUCCGGCAAAGUCCAAAUGUACGUCUAAAUGAAUCUUCCUAAACUAGUUGUGCAUGUGACCAGCACCCAGAUGAACAGCUGAGAGGGCUGUUGGCCCCUCCUGAGCCCAGCCCCUGUCUUCUAGCUCUCCAAUCACUACCUUGCAUCCCAAGGAUAUCCAGAGCCACUGUCCCUGGCUGGGCCAACACCAAGCCAAUGAGAUCAUAUGAGAACUGGACUCAAAAGAAGAGUGAGAGCCUAAAGGGGUUCACAAGGAAAGGGAUCCCCAUGAGAUUCCACCAUCAGGGACUGGGCUGUGCCCACUCCACUCAGUGUCACUCCAAACCAUGAGGAUGCUGGCUCUCGCUCUACCCAAACAGAGUCAGUUCCCUCUCAUGUAGGACUCUCCGUGGGUAUUUUCAUCUGCAAAUCAAAAUUCUCAAAACACUUCUCUGUCUCCUCUCAUAUCACUGCUACAAUCAUUUCUACUGAGGAGGAUAGCAACACCUUCCAUUUACUCACUGUUCAUAAGGUGACACAGUGCAAAGUACAUACACAUCUCCAGUAUGUUCAGAGUCGGACAAGGAACCUACUAGCCUAAUUCCUUGCGUGCAGACACAGCCUUUGCAUUCAUGAUCUCAUUUAAAAACUGAAUUGUGGGGCUGGGGGGUUAGCUUAGGGUUAGAGCACAUGUGUAGCAGCUGUGGGCUCCUCGGGUUCAAUCUCUAGCAAACUUGCUUCUCCCAAAACUACAAAGAAACUGUAUCGUGAAGAUCCUGUAUGAAGUACAGAGCAGAUGUUCAUAGCUCUACUGGGUGAGAAUCUUUCCAUCUCAAGAGAUCUUUUUCUUUUGGGGACUGAACUUAAGAGCCUUCACACUGAGCUACAUCCUAAGCCUUUUUUUGAGACAAGGUCUUGCUAAGUUGCUCAGGCUCUAACCUGUGAUCCUCCCACCUCAGCCUCCCAGCAGCUGGGAUUACAGGCCUGGGCCACAAUGCCUGGCUUCAAGAGAUUUUUAAAAAUCUAAUACAUCGUAAGUCUUUAUUGUCUUCUGUGACUGGAAAACCAGGGACUGUGAUACCUUUCAAAUGACAUUGUGUCCUAUUCACUAUCUGUCUCCAACUCAGCUGUCUCUGGUGGAAAUGGGCUGCACACGCAUUCCUCUGCCAGUAGCCACACAGGCUGUAACACCAGCCUUGAAUCUAGCACUUCCCCACUGUUCCAAGGAGAAAGUCUGAGAAUCACUGUAACUAGGCCAGGUUUACCUGCCCACCCUGACCCCUCACUGUGGCUGAAGGAAUGGGAAAGCAGACUGGCUUAAUCUGGGGGUGGAGAUAUCACCUGGACAGAUGGGGGGCACUUUCCAAGAAAUUGAAAGAAAACUAUUACAGGAGUACAGAUAUUUAAAAAAAUAAUUAAAACAAAGUGAGGGACACAAAAAGGUUAGGCAACAUACCCAAGUAUACACAGCUAGUGAGCACAAGGUCUAAGGCCAGAAUGCAGAUCUUCCUGUUUGAGAUUCUUCCAGUUUUUUUUUCCUUCAUGAUAAUUGCUAUUAUUUACGGGUAUACAGCACUGCCAAGGUCUCAGGGCAUAGAGCACUGUUGCUCAAGUUAAAAUAAUUUCUCAGGGGCCCAGAAUCUUAGAUAAUGACAACAUUCUCUUUCCCUAGUAGAAUGGGGACUGUUGAACCAGACUGCCUGGGCUACACCUGCCUCACUGCAGGUGAAGAAGAGACGGGGCGUGGGAUACAGCUACACAUUACCAGGAAAGAAGAUGUAGAGAAGAAAACAAAGUGCUGUGGUCAGAUUCUGAUAUGUGCAGUGGAGUCGCCCUACCAGAGACCCCUGUGAUGGGUUCCGAUCUCCUGCUCAGUGUUACCACGAAUGGUUAAAAGAAAAACUCAAAGGCAGAACUAAAGAGACAGAGAUAUGGGAAGCCAAGAUGACCAAUGCUCGUGCAAGCAAGGCUGAACGAGAAAGGCCCUGAACCCUCAGAGCUGUUGAUAUUUUUUGGUUACAUCAUAGUUACACUGAGGUAAGGGGGCUAUGUGAGGGACUAUUUGGAAUUGCGAUGGAUCCGUUGCUGAUGCAGGCAAGGAUUGUAAAGGAAGAGACAAAGCAUUCCUGAAUUAGGAACAGAACAG